rnacentral:lncRNA from 10 species
AGGUAAUCUGAAAAAUGUUUUAUAUUUGCACUUUUGUCUGUUUCUCAGAGUAAAAGUCCUAAAACUUUGGACAGAUUCUCAAAGGGGUCUGUGAUUCUCAAAGAGUUAAGAGCCACUAAUUUAAGCUGAGGCCUUUCUGACUCCAAAGCCUGUAUGCGGGGGCACCCUCCACCAGAUCCUAGUUAAGAGGAUAUUCUUUAAAAUUAAAACCUAUAUAAGAUCUGGGUCUGCAUCCUGAAGAAAGCACACUCAUGGUAAAUGGUCUGGCUAUCUAUUGCUAUGUAGCAAAUCAUACUGAAAUUUAGGGGCUUAUAACAACCACAAUCAAUGGAUUGCUGAGUAGGCCGUUGCAUAGAUGAAAUGAGGGGAAGAGGUCUGAGCUGAAGAUGCACAGUUUGGAAUGUCUUCCCCUAGUUUUGCCUGAAGGCUUUAAGUUGGACAUAUGCCUCUGAUUUUCCUACAGCUGUUUUAUUAUGUGUACAGUUUAGUGGCAUUAAGUACAUUCUCACUGUUGAGAAACCAUGGCCACUAUUCUCUCUCAAACUUUUCAUUUUGCAAAAAAUAAAACUUUGUACCCAUUAAACAAUAACUCAUCUAUUCCUCCUUACCUGCAGGCCCUGGCAACUACCAUUUUACUUUCUGACUCUAUGAAUUUGAAGAACUAUAUAGUAUUCAUCCUUUUGGUACUGCCUUAUUUCACUUAACAUAAUGUCUUCAAGGUUCACUUAGCGUGACAGCCUUGAGGUUCAUGUUGUAGCAUGUGUCAGAAUUUUCUUAAGGCUGAAGAAUAUUCCAUUGUAGGUCUAUGCCACAUUUGGUUUAUCUGUUCAUCUCUUGAACUCUUGGGUUGCUUCCACCUUUUGGCUAUGGACUUGGGUGUAUGAAUACCUUUUUGAGACCCUGCUUUUAAUUCUUUUGGGUAUAUCUCCUUAAGUGAAAUUGCUAGAUCAAUGGCUGGGCAUGGUGGCUCACGCCUGUAAUCCCAGCACUUUGGGAGGCUGAGGCAGGUGGAUCACUUGAGGUUAGGAGUUCAAGACCAGCCUGGCCGACAUGAUGAAACCCCGUCUCUACUAAAAAAUACAAAAAUUAGCUGAGUGUGGUGGUGGGCGCCGGUAAUCUCAGUUACUCAGGAGGCUGAGGCAGGAGAAUUGCUUGAGCCCGGGAGGCGGAGGCUGCAGUGAGCCAAGAUGGCGCCUCUGCAGUCCAGCCUGGGUGACAGAACAAGACUGUCUCAAAAAGAAGAAGAAAGAAAUUGGUAGAUCAUAUGAUAAUUCUAUUUUGAAUUUUUUGAGAGACUGCCAUGCUGUUUGCCAUAGCAAAUGCCCCAUUUCACAUUCCCACCAACGGGGCACAAGGGCUCCAAUUUCUCCACAUCCUUGCCAACAUUUGCUUUUUUCUUUUGUUUUUCUUUUUUGAUAAUAGCUAUCCUAAUGGGUGUAAGGUGGUACCUCAUUAUGGUUUUGAUUUGCUUUCUCAUAAUCACUGGUAAUGUUGAGCAUCUUUUCAUGUGU